UUGAUUGGACUCACUGUCCUCCCUGUCAGCAAUGCCUGUCCUUUUCUCGUGGUCAGCCAUUCUAAGGCUCUGUGGUCCAAUGUAGAUUAGUUGAAGAGGAGACUUGUCAGCAGGAUUGCUUGAGAGAGGAUGGCCACAAUGAAAGAGACACUUGCAGUCGGGUAGUCACCAGUGUCUUCCGAGAAGAACCAGCUGCUGCUUCUGCCCACAUGUCUUCCCUAGGUCACAUGGCAACUUUUCCAGGCCUCUCCAUGUUGUAUGCAUUGGUACUACUGUACUGUCUUGUUCUAUGGGUUCUGGACUGCCCAGGCCAGCCUCAGCGUUGCUCUGAGGCUGAGGAUGACUUUGCGUUUCUGAUCCUUCUACUUCUACCUCCCAUGCUAGGAUUGGACACAGUGCCUUUCAGUGCGCUGGUGCCUGCCGCCUUGGGCUUCCUGGACAAGUAUAGCUUCCACUGUCUUGCUUACUGUAUGGCUGCUCCUUAAUGCAGGGCUUUGUUGUUUAUCAUUAACCUCCCACCCGUGAAGUCCUAUAAGGCUAUCCCAUUGUCCAGAUGAGAGCCCAUUCUAGGAAAGAGGUAGGGCUAGUUGUGUUAUCACUUGGUCUGUAGGCAGAAGCAUAUUGUCCAGUCACUGUGCCUGCUUGAGAACCCCAGAUCUGAGUAUUUUUGCCACACUCAUGCUGUAUGAGCCCUGUAAGCUAAGGGCCCUGAGGGAGAGGGGGGCCCUAAGAAGCUGUGACUUAGGUUGUCCACAUGUAUUCGUUGACCUAAGAGGAGCUGCACUCAGGCCCCAAAAUGCAAAUUUGAAUACUUGGGAAGCUUUGUUCAGGAGGCUGGAGGCAGUCUUGCAGGAGGCAUGGUGUUGUGCUCUUCCCAUUACUAUCUGUUGACCAGCCAGUCUCCCAGGAUGGCUGGUUCUUCUUCUGGGGUGGGGGUGGGGCUCCUGGCAGUGGCUCUGGCUGCAAGCAGGCAGGUGAAGUGCUAGUUGAGGUCUUUGCAGCCCAGCUGUAGUGUUUCCCUCUGGGCACCUGUCUCAAGAGGGUUUGGCAGGUCUAUAUUGAGAUGAUUAGUGCAGUGGGGCUUCUCCCACUCUUCUUGGGGGAUUAUGUCACAGUCUAUUAAGCAUGCUCCCUUGGUGUUUAAUCCCCCCCUGACAUGGAUUUUUCUGGCAGCCUGUUAAAAUGCCUUUUCGUAAAUCUCCCAGCUGUUUUCUGUCCGUGGCCCUUGGGAUAUCUGCCUUCUCCCAGUGGGCUUCCUUUCUUCUUUCUAGUGACUAGUGUGAAGGAAGUAGUCAGGCCUGAUGCUUACACAGGUCUCUUAGGUGGGAAGCGUCUGCAGCAUGACCAUGACAGAGAUCAUAUGGGGCUCUAGGGGCCGAGGGCAGGGACCAGCUGGUUGGCUUUGCAGAUGUCGUGACCAGUCUGGUGUCACCUUACCAGUACCUCUUCUAAGUCACAAGCAGGUUUUUUAAAUUUAUUUUUUAAAUUAUUUUGGCAUUUUGAGACAGGAUUUUGUUCUGUAAGUGAGGCUGGCCCUAAACAAGAGACCUUUUAACCUUAGCCUCUUGAGUGUGGAUGCCAUGCCUGCUUAGAUUUCCAAAAACUUUCUAAUUUUUAGCAUCUCCAUUCCAGG
rnacentral:lncRNA from 1 species